rnacentral:rRNA from 1 species
AUGAGUUAAGUAUAAACCCCUUUACAAGUAUCAAUUGGAGGGCAAGUCUGGUGCCAGCAGCCGCGGUAAUUCCAGCUCCAAUAGCGUAUAUUAAAGUUGUUGCAGUUAAAAAGCUCGUAGUUGGAUUUCUGUUAAUAAUUUUAUAGUGUAUUUAACAUAUAUUAUAUAAUAUUAACAUAAUUCAUAUUACUAUUUUUAGUAUAUGAAAUUUUACUUUGAGAAAAUUAGAGUGCUUAAAGCAGGCAUAUGCCUUGAAUACUCCAGCAUGGAAUAAUAUAAAAGAUUUUUAUCUUUUUAUUGGUUCUAAGAUAAAAAUAAUGAUUAAUAGGAACAGUUGGGGGCAUUUGUAUUUAACAGUCAGAGGUGAAAUUCUUAGAUUUGUUAAAGACAAACUAGUGCGAAAGCAUUUGCCAAGGAUGUUUUCAUUAAUCAAGAACGAAAGUUAGGGGAUCGAAGACGAUCAGAUACCGUCGUAGU